CACUCAUUCUCACUUUUCUUCUCUCCUCUUUUUUCUUUCCCCAUCCACCCCUGCCCCCCUCUCUCCACGGCGCGCCGCCCCCAAGCCUCCUCUCUCUGUCGGCCUCGCAGCCCCCUCGCCGCUGGUGAGCUUGCUUGAGAUCUGCCGCAGCCGGAUCCGCCGCCUCCUCCUCCCUCCUCUCCGGCGGCGACCAACGCCACCCCCAUGCUCGGCGCACUCCCAAGCUCUCCGGGGCGGAUCCGCUCGCCCGCCUGCCCGCCCGCAGAGACAGAGGCCCACGGGGCAUCGGCUAUGGCGGAGGAAAGGGCCGGCCAGAUCCGGUGGCCACUCCCUCCGCGCGCGCGCCGUCGUCCGUCGCCGAGCUGCGGUGCGCCUAGGGCUGAGCGGCCACGACUCCGGCGCACGGCGAGCUUGCAGGGACGGCGACCGGCUUUCAUGCUCCUCCUCCGGCGGCGGCGCUCCGGCCUCCCCCACGUCUGCGCUUCCUCCAGGCUCCAAGUCACCGACCACGAGGACAUCGCCGCCGCGCAACCUUCUUCUGUCUCCGGCCUCCUCCUUGCGGGGCCACGACGGCGGCGGCCGGAUCCACACGGGGCCGGGGGCCGGCGGUGGCCGCGGCCGUGGAGGCCCGCGCGGGUCCAAGUGCCGCCCCCUCCCUCCCUCUCCAUGCUGGGGCCUCUGCUCAAGUGUGCCGCUCAGAUCCCGCGGCGGGGCGGAGCAGUGGCCACGGCGAGGCGUCCACGGCUACAAGGCUUUUUUUCUCUAUAUGUUGUGUUGCUUGCUAAUCGAAGGCAUAGAGUUUCUACUUCGAGAUAGUUUGCUGCAUGCACCUUUUUUCGUGCUUCAGAUCAAGAAUGUUUAGGAAAAUGAUCAUUUGCAGUAUUUUUUUCUUGUUAGAUAUCGCCAUCUAUUAAGUUUGACGAGGCUCACCUGUUGUAUAUGAACAAAGAACUAUCACAUUUAUUUUCAAUAGUACAAAUUAGAGGCCAUGUUUAGUCCCAA